UCGGUCCCGGUUCACGUCCCCGCGCAUUAGAUCGGUGGGCGACCCGGGCC
rfam:Mycobacterium mageritense, CIP 104973, WGS project CCBF01000000 data, contig: 000004